UUCUUCCCAGGUUCAGAGACUUUUAGGGCUCAGGUGGAUACAUCCAACCACUUCUCAAAAGACACUCUCAGGCCACUCACCCCCAGAGAUUCAGGUUGCUGAGUCAUUUGUUCCCAAGAAGAUCCUCUGACAACAUGGAAAACAGCAAAACAGAGCGGCAGCCAAGCCUGGACACGGAAUGGCUAAAGACUAGGUUCUUCUCCGGGGUGGGCAGCCAAGUGAGAUGAACACCUGCCAGCCCACUGCCUAGCCCUGUGCCCCUGCGAUGGUAAUGCACGGGUAACGCACAGGCAUUCACACACCUGGAAACUCUCGCAGGGAGGGGGGGGGUUCCCCAGCAAUGCUCUGAAGACUGGCUGGGGUUGUUUUUGAUACUGACAGAUCUCUACUGCAGCAAAGCACGUAGCUCCCAACACUGGCCUGCCCCCAGACCCAAAAUAUUUCCAGAACAGCUCAGAUACUAAGUCACUAGGCCCUGUAUACCCAGAGAGACCCAAGGAGUCUCGGGUUCCCACACCGCUCCAAUCUAAGGAAUGUAGACCGGCAAAGGUUUCUGAUAAAAAAAAAAAUUGUACCAUACGGGCCUAGAGCUGACUGGAAGUGAGAGAUGCAUUCAGGUCCUGGAGCAGCUGACUCAUUAAGUGCAUCACAUCAAGAACAUCGCAACUUUCAGGAAGAUGGCCUGAGAAUGAGAGGCUAGGUCGCCACAGUACCAUGUACCCUGCUUUCCAAGCAGCCUUCUUUAAGCAGCUCAGGGCCACGGUUUCACCCAGCAGAAAGACCACUUGGAAGACAACCACAGCACUCCACGGCUUUAAAAGAAGCCCAGCGCAUCUGUGCCAAGCUCCCAGCGGGGGGUAAAGUGCUUCAAAUUCACACCUUGUGGGCUCCAGGGUAGAGCAUGCCAAUAAAGAAGUCACCUCCUGGUCUGAUGACCAAAGGAAUGUGGCCUUGAUGGCACUAAAGCAAGUCCCCCGGAAUGGUCCUCUGUCUACGUAAAUCCCAUUUGCCACAGUUUCCUUUUCCAUGGAAGAAAAACAUGCCGAAGUUCAUGUCAGGACAUUCCUGAUUUAUCCAAGGGCCCAGGAUCAAAUAAACAAAGGCUUUGAGCUCUGCCAGGGAGCCUCCUGCUUCAGGAGCGAGAACUAGAGGGAAGUAGGGCUCAGCACAGAGUUGGCCCAUUACCCAGUGAACUUGGUAAAUGACGUGGCUGCUCACUGCCAUGGUGAUGGAGAUGUCACGGGUGGGUGGAAGUGAGAGAGGAGAGGCAAAUAAGUCAUGAGAUACGGAGCAAGAGCGAACUAGGGUUAGAGGAGGGCCAUAUACAGCCACAGUGUUUACAGACAGAGGCCACCAUGGUCUACAACUGCACACAACUGAGCCCUAUGCAAAGUAAGGUCGCUAUCUCAGGGGCUCCGCAGGGACCAACCCUGACCUGCAAAGCUACGACAGCGCUACAUUUCAUUUCAGGUCUUCCUUCUAUUAACCUGAUUCUGCGUGGCACGUAGAACAGAAAAACCUGAACGGGAUGACCAGGAAGCAGAAAUGAAUUCAGUUCCAAAAACAUGGGAGGAUGUUUACUUAGCAAGCAUGCUCAAGCCUACAAGGAAGCAGUUUUACGGGAUGCUGUAUGCGGUGUUUGAUUUCAGGGGGUAAAGAUAACUUCUGGGUGAGGAGAGGGUGCUGGCUCCUUCUCCCUGCCCUGUGUGACCUGUGGAGGGUGGAGGCUGGGCCGGGGCAAACUUGAAAAGGCACAGCUUCCACUCAAGCCCAGCAGGUCACUGGCUUCUCUUCGGCUUCUCUGCAGCUACAGGCCUCGGGAAUGAAAUGCACUCUCUAGACAUCGCAAGCUCUCCGUGGCCUCUGACUGAUCUGGGUCAAAAUGUUGAAAUGCCGAAGAUGAAGAAUUUUUUCUUUAAAGGGAAUGAGCUGAACUUUUACCCAGCCCCUGUCCUGGGUUUGAAACGCAAGCACUCUGUAAUUGCCACAAACUCCAGUCCAGGAGAGCAGGUUCAGCACAGUUCCUCAUUUCGUCAUCAAGGCCCCACUCCACGGAGACUGGCUCUGUAAUCAGGAAAGAAACCGUUUCUCUUGAGACAGGAGAGCCGUGCAGGAGACUGACCCCAAACUCCACACAAGUGCCCAGGAUGAGAGUGGGUGCUCUACAUUAAUUAGGCGGUGAUCUGGUCUCAGGCAGAACUGUCUACCCCCCAGGCGGGGGCCGACUCAGUGAUGCCAUAAGCAAAUGAUUUAUUAAGUACCUACAAGGUGCUAAGCCCACAUUCAGCAGAGGGGAAGCACAAGAUACAGGCCAUCACCUCAAGACAUACACCUUCUAGGUGAGGACCCUUUAAGCAUUCCCGAAUUAGCAUUUUUUGAUAUUUCAAAAAUCUGCUCUUAAAAGUUGGAAAUUCAUUUUCCCAUUGAAAUAUUAUUAAACAUAUGCUGCUUGGGUUCCCAGGCUAGCCCACAAAAGCCUAUUUUACCUGCUUCAGGAAGUGACAAACUCACAUGCCUUUGGGGCAACGCAGGUGCUAAAGGAAGGAAUGGGCUGCAGAGGGCAGGUGCCAAGUGGAUGGAGCACAGCAACCCCACAGCAGCCCAGCCCGGCAGCCCCACUGCUCAGGGACAUCUGCAAAUGGACACCUCAAGAGCCCAGAUUGUUCAGCUUCUCAGGAGAAGGCUGACAUCCAGAUUUAUGAUAUUAAACUCUCCAUUUUUAAACAUUGUCAAAAAAAAUUUUAAGUUGAAACAUACCUGCAGAGCUUCCAGUUUGUUUUCUCUGCGGUAAUGUAUCCCAAAUACCGCUACGUUUGCAAGGACAAAAUGAAAGCAAGCACGGCAAGAAUGAGGGUUUAAAUAAACUAAAGAAACAAAGAGGAGCAGAAAAGAGAGCUUUACGUCACAGAUGCGGCUUUUGGAGGAAAAGAACAGCCUAGAGGAAAAUUCAAGGAAAUCUCAACCUGCAGGUCAAGGGUCGUCAACCGGCCUUAGGUUGAGGGUUUCGGGUGGAGGGGUUCAUCAGAAUUAUUUUUUAAAUAUAUGUGAUACCAUUAAAGUGCUAGUAUUUGUGCCCUACCCAGAACCUACCAGAAGGGCAAGAGUCCUUCCGAUAUACUGGCCUUUUCUCCCAGCUUAGUUGCUGCUCUGAACAUCCUCAGAGGGUCUGCUCAGGGCUUUGUUAAAAUUGGAAGGGAUUAUGAUAAUCCAUCUGCCCAUUCCGGGUGUAAGGGCUUCCUUAAACACCACCAGAACCAAGGCAAUCUCUAGCCUCUACCUGAGUCACUACUUCCACCCCACCUUUGGAGGACUCAGACAGCAGGAACGUGAUUGAGAUGAACUCUCUCUCGUGAAGCAAUGAUCUACUAGCCUUCAGGUCUUCACUCUGCCUCAGACACCCAAAGAACAAGCCUACUUCCCCAAGACUUUCGGAUAUUUUAGGGUAACUUUUACAACCACAAGAUUUUAGGCUAAACGAGGAGGUACAAAAAGAGAAAUGAGAAAGGAGGUGGGGGAGAAAAUGGGGGCGGAGACCAGAGAGAAAGAGUCUUAAAAUAGCUGAUCAAAAGUUUAACAAGCCAAAGGAAAAGAGGAAGAGACAUAUGUAUUAUAUAUUCACGAGAAAGGAGGCCCUUGUGGCAGAAUAAACAGCUGAGUGAAGUAGGACACGCAGGACAUGCUAAAGGAAGGCCCACAGUCCCCCCACAAAAGAAAAUGUUGACAAGGGCCACGGGAUCAGACAGUUCCCAAGGCCAGCCACCAGGCUGUGCCAAUGAUCUAGGACAAACUGGUUAAAACCUGCAACUGGGAGAAAAAAAACUAUACAACCUACAAUGUUUAUGUACGGGAUUUUCUUUUGCUCAUUUUGGGCGAAGGGGUUCUUUUCUUUGGGAUUUGCUGGAUUCUUUGUAUAUUCUGGAUACAAAUCCACUUGCCAGUUGUAGGUACUGUGUGUAUCUUCUCCACUCUUUUUCUCUUUUAUUGAUGCUUUUCAAUGAUCAGAAGUUCCUCGUUUUAA